rnacentral:rRNA from 1 species
ACACAUGCAAGUCGAACGGAGUGUUGCGCUGAAAUUGAGAUUAGCUUGCUAAAGGAAAUUUCUUGUAACACUUAGUGGCGGACGGGUGAGUAACGCGUGAGGAACCUGCCUUACAGAGGGGGACAACAGUUGGAAACGACUGCUAAUACCGCAUGAUGUUUCGAGAGGACAUCCUCUUGAAACCAAAGGAGCAAUCCGCUGUAAGAUGGCCUCGCGUCUGAUUAGAUAGUUGGUGGGGUAACGGCCUACCAAGUCGACGAUCAGUAGCCGGACUGAGAGGUUGAUCGGCCACAUUGGGACUGAGACACGGCCCAGACUCCUACGGGAGGCAGCAGUGGGGGAUAUUGCACAAUGGAGGAAACUCUGAUGCAGCAACGCCGCGUGAGGGAAGAAGGUUUUCGGAUUGUAAACCUCUGUUUUUAGUGAAGAAACAAAUGACGGUAGCUAAAGAGGAAGCCACGGCUAACUACGUGCCAGCAGCCGCGGUAAUACGUAGGUGGCAAGCGUUGUCCGGAAUUACUGGGUGUAAAGGGUGCGCAGGCGGGAUUGCAAGUUGGAUGUGAAAUACCGGGGCUUAACCCCGGAGCUGCAUCCAAAACUGUAGUUCUUGAGUGGAGUAGAGGUAAGCGGAAUUCCGAGUGUAGCGGUGAAAUGCGUAGAUAUUCGGAGGAACACCAGUGGCGAAGGCGGCUUACUGGGCUCUAACUGACGCUGAGGCACGAAAGCAUGGGUAGCAAACAGGAUUAGAUACCCUGGUAGUCCAUGCUGUAAACGAUGAAUGCUAGGUGUGGGGGG